rnacentral:lncRNA from 1 species
GAUCUAUUAACUUAGACAUUUUUACUAAUAUUUUAAAUCCGGAAGAUAUUAAUAGAUCUUUAAAAGGUUAAUUAGGAUUCGAAACUCGGAUAACUCUCUUCCUUCAUGCGAUUUUUGGCAUCUUUCUCUCGUCUCGGAGAAAAAGAACAAAAUAAUGUUUUAUGAUCAUAAUUUUCCGAAAUCGAUAUGCGAAACGUGUAAUUCUUCUUUACGCUAUGACUUUCGCUAUUUUCAGCACUUAGCGAAGAUUUCAAGAUGGUAGAAAGAUGAUCCUACUAAGAAGGAAAUAUGAAAAAAAAAAGAAAGAAAGAAAGAAAGACGAAAGAGCCGUUCCGAUUUCUAGCUCACCGUUCAAGAUGUUUCCUAUCUCGACAGAGUCAGUCUUUCCUAGAAGCUCGAGUUAUUUUCGUUUGAAAUCCAACUUACAAAACUGUCUUGGGUUUUGCUUCAGACACGCUUUACGCUGUUUUCAUUAUAUAAACAACAGCAUCCCGCACAAUGAGGCAAUUUUUGAUGACACACACAGCUGACUCUGUCGUCGUGUUGAUGUUACUUCCUAAACUCCAACCAAACAAUAAAUGCUCUUCUUUGCUCCCGAGCAGUUAAAGCGAUCGUUAAAUAAUUUCGUAUAACAAAUAUCCAUCGAUACAUGAAUGAAUUUUAAAUCGCCAUUAUAUCACAUCUGUCUGCCGACUUAAGAGG